rnacentral:tRNA from 1 species
AGGAGUUUAGGUUAGACCAGACCAAGAGCCUUCAAAGC